CCUGCAGCUGCUGCCCACCGAACCACACGAAGAACCUUCAGCUGUCAUUCUGCCGCUCGAUGCUGAUGAGCCUGCCGUGAUGUUCAGUGUGUGUCUGUAGUCUCCUCCCUCUCCCAGUGGACAUAAGCAGAGACAUGAUUGGAAUGAUGAGGGGUCCAGAGAGUCGGCUCUGCUGGUUUGAAAGCGCAGAGACACAC